CUAAUGCAGUCGAGCGAAUGGAUUAAGAGCUUGCUCUUAUGAAGUUAGCGGCGGACGGGUGAGUAACACGUGGGUAACCUGCCCAUAAGACUGGGAUAACUCCGGGAAACCGGGGCUAAUACCGGAUAACAUUUUGAACCGCAUGGUUCGAAAUUGAAAGGCGGCUUCGGCUGUCACUUAUGGAUGGACCCGCGUCGCAUUAGCUAGUUGGUGAGGUAACGGCUCACCAAGGCAACGAUGCGUAGCCGACCUGAGAGGGUGAUCGGCCACACUGGGACUGAGACACGGCCCAGACUCCUACGGGAGGCAGCAGUAGGGAAUCUUCCGCAAUGGACGAAAGUCUGACGGAGCAACGCCGCGUGAGUGAUGAAGGCUUUCGGGUCGUAAAACUCUGUUGUUAGGGAAGAACAAGUGCUAGUUGAAUAAGCUGGCACCUUGACGGUACCUAACCAGAAAGCCACGGCUAACUACGUGCCAGCAGCCGCGGUAAUACGUAGGUGGCAAGCGUUAUCCGGAAUUAUUGGGCGUAAAGCGCGCGCAGGUGGUUUCUUAAGUCUGAUGUGAAAGCCCACGGCUCCACCCGUGGAGGGGCAUUGGGAACUGGGAGACUUGAGUGCGCAAAAAGAGAGAGAGA
rnacentral:rRNA from 1 species